rnacentral:rRNA from 1 species
UACGGAGGGGGCUAGCGUUGUUCGGAAUUACUGGGCGUAAAGCGCACGUAGGCGGAUGUGUCAGUCAGGGGUGAACUCCCGGGGCUCAACCUCGGAACUGCCUUUGAUACAGCAAGUCUUGAGUUCGAGAGAGGUGGGUGGAAUUCCUAGUGUAGAGGUGAAAUUCGUAGAUAUUAGGAAGAACACCGGUGGCGAAGGCGGCCCACUGGCUCGACACUGACGCUGAGGUGCGAAAGCGUGGGGAGCAAACAGG